CGCUACUGCACUUACUAGCUACUAUCGCUCUGCAUUUCGCUGACUACAGCAUCGUUUCGAGGUCUUCUACUGACAAGAUGUUUACUAGGCUGCAUAUUCAAGCACGGGAAGAUAUGAUACGGUAUCAUGUCACCCUGCUGCGAGUUUAUGGCCGUCGCUGGAUGAGGAACUGACUGCCGUCCCCAGGCUGUGUCCCCUAGUUCCU